UUAAGCUAGAAAGAGCGCAGGGUGGAUGCCUUGGCACUAAGAGCCGAUGAAAGACGUGAUAAGCUGCGAAAAGCUUCGGGGAGGAGCAAAUAUCCUUUGAUCCGGAGAUCUCUGAAUGGGGAAACCUACUUGAGUGCACCUCAAGUGACGUAUGGUGAAUACAUAGCCAUACGCCGGGAACCCGGUGAACUGAAACAUCUAAGUAGCCGGAGGAAGAGAAAGAAACAUCGAUUCCGAAAGUAGCGGCGAGCGAAAUUGGAAGAGCCCAAACCGGAAUGCGUGCAUUCCGGGGUUAUGGACCACGUUAUGUGACCCGUAUGGUAAUGGAACUGUCUGGGAAGUCAGACCAGAGAGGGUGAAAGUCCCGUACAUGAAACCAGAAGGGAGCUAGUGGGAUCCAGAGUACUGCGAGACACGUGGAACCUUGCAGGAAGUCGGGGGGACCACCCCCCAAGGCUAAAUACUCCUUAGUGACCGAUAGCGCAUAGUACUGUGAAGGAAAGGUGAAAAGGACCCCGGGAGGGGAGUGAAAGAGAACCUGAAACCCUGUGUUUACAAGCUGUGGAAGUUCUUUAAAUGAACAACCGCGUACUUUUUGUAGAACGGUCCGGCGAGUUGCGGAUACUGGCAAGGUUAAGCACUUAAGGUGCGGAGCCGAAGGGAUACCAAGUCUUAACAGGGCGUUAAGUCAGUAUACGCAGACCCGAAACCGGGUGAUCUAUCCAUGUCCAGGUUGAAGUUGUCGUAAAAGACAAUGGAGGACCGAAGCCACAUCCGUUGAAAAGGGUGGGCAUGAGGUGUGGAUAGGGGAGAAAUUCCAAUCGAACCCGGAGAUAGCUGGUUCUCCUCGAAAUAGCUUUAGGGCUAGCCUCAUGCAAGUCUUACGGAGGUAGAGCACUGAAUUCCUAAGGGGGCGUCAAAGCUUACCAAGGGAUAUCAAACUCCGAAUGCCGUGUAGAUGGUGCAUGGGAGUCAGACUAUCCGAGAUAAGUUGGGUAGUCAAAAGGGAAAGAGCCCAGACCUACAGCUAAGGUCCCAAAAUGUGUGUUAAGUGGAAAAGGAUGUGGGAUUUCGAAGACAACUAGGAUGUUGGCUUAGAAGCAGCCAUCCAUUAAAAGAGUGCGUAAUAGCUCACUAGUCGAGAGGUCCUGCGCCGAAAAUGUCCGGGGCUGAAACACACUACCGAAGCUUAGGAAUUGACGAAUGUUAAUUGGUAGAGGAGCAUUCUUAACGGGGCGAAGCUGUACCGGAAGGAGCAGUGGACUGUUAAGAAGAGAGAAUGCCGGAAUGAGUAGCGAGAGGAAGGUGAGAAUCCUUCCGGCCGAAUAUCUAAGGUUUCCAGAGUAAAGCUGAUCUGCUCUGGGUAAGUCGGGGCCUAAGGCGAGGUCGAAAGACGUAGUCGAUGGAUAACAGGUAAAGAUUCCUGUACUGUAUCAUAACAGAACUGUGGGGACGCAGACAGAGAGCAUAAGCCGGGAAUGGAAAGACCGGUACAAGCGAGGUAGGAGUGCAUCAGGCAAAUCCGGUGCACAAUCUGAAGACGUGAUGUGGGGCGUAAAGCCGGAAGUAUGUGAGCUGGCUGCCAAGAAAAGCCGCUAUUGUUUAUGAUAUACCCGUACCGUAAACCGACACAGGUGGAUGAGGAGAGAAUCCUAAGGCCGACGGGAGAAGCAUUGUUAAGGAACUCGGCAAAAUGACUCCGUAACUUCGGGAGAAGGAGUGCCAUGUAAAAGUGGCCGCAGAGAAUUGGCCCAAGCAACUGUUUAGCAAAAACACAGGUCUAUGCAAAACCGAAAGGUGAGGUAUAUGGGCUGACGCCUGCCCGGUGCUGGAAGGUUAAGAGGAGAUGUUAGAGCAAUCGAAGCAUUGAAUUUAAGCCCCAGUAAACGGCGGCCGUAACUAUAACGGUCCUAAGGUAGCGAAAUUCCUUGUCGGGUAAGUUC
rnacentral:rRNA from 1 species